AGACUCUGAUACGGCAGAUGGCAAUUACAACCCUGCAGCCAAAAGAGGAAGAACAUCACCAUUUACGCAGUUUCCACCAACUCAUUCCGUUUCUAAGAAUAAUGUUUUCAUGCCAUCCAGUUUCUGCCAGUCACCAACCGAAAACUCAGACUCAGAACCUGAAGAGAAAACUGUGGGGUUU